AUGACUCUUCAGAUUCUUCGAGAAAACGAUCUCCUUCCUCUUCAACUUGACAGCACGACUCCUCCACCAAUCUCCGUCUCCCAUUCAUCCUUGAAUCCAUCUCAAAAUCUCACGAUACAAACACCAUCAUCACCUCCGUUUAUUUCCGGUCUCCAUCUCACUAUAUCAUCGCAAUCCUGCUUCAUUUCAAAAGCUUCGAUUCAGUCAUUCGACUUCUUCAAUCUCUUUUUCCGUCUCUGGUCUUCUCCUUCGCUGACCGCAGCUACAUCCAUCUCAAUCAUCAUCACAUUGCGGCUUUGA